rnacentral:sRNA from 1 species
GCCAGGCGUGGUGGCUCACGCCUGUAAUCCCAGCACUUUGGGAGGCUGAGGUGGGCGGAUCACCUGAGGUCAGGAGUUCUAGAACAGUCUGGUCAACAUGGUGAAACCAUGUCUCUACUAAAAAUACAAAAUAUUAGCAGGACAUGGUGGCGGGUGCCUGUAAUCCCAGCUACUCGGGAGGCUGAGGCAGGAGAAUCACUUGAGUCCGGAAGGUGGAGGUUGUAGUGAGCUGAGAUCGUGCCAUUGCGCUCCAGCCUGGGCAACAAGAGUGAAACUCCGUCUCA